GGGACGUGGCCUGGGUCCAGGCCCUGCCCCGCCGCCACUGAGACUCCCAACGCCACCAAACGUCGGAGCUGCGGUUUCUUUAGCUGUCAAAUGCAGGCAGAUACUACCCACCUCGCCUCUGGAGUGAGCAGCAGCCCUGUGCCCAUCCCGCUAUGCUUCAGGAGUCUUGUAGAAGAUAUCAGAACACCGUUUCCUGAGUCCCAGUCUGUGUCUUCUAGAAAAGACUGUCCCUCUUCACCCAAGCCCGCUGGCUCCUGAGACACAUCAUCCAGACCCAGUGCAGCUGGACCUGACCCAGAAAAAGAAAUACAAGUUUGGCAAAGAUGACAGUGCCGUUCCCUGCAGUGUUCCUGUUCUGCUCUUUUGAAUAAGUUCCGGUUUGACUAUGACUACGUGAAAAUGUGGAACCAGACCUUCACCCCACAUUCCAUCUCCAGCUCUACCACAGAGGAAGUGCAAUAUCACCUUAGUUAUUCAACACAUUAUGCUCCUCGUGAUACAACCAGAGCUUGUUCACAUCAGCAAUCUUGGCAGCUCUCACCACGCUGCUGACUCACGACUCUCUCAUGUCCCAAUUUCCUGUCCAUUGUUCUUUCCUCUACUUGGCCUGAUUUCUAAAGGCCUCUCUUGGUUGCAUUAGGAGGGAUUCCUGAGGAAUUCCCUCAGCAGUUACCUUGGGGGAGCCCUCAGGUUUGGGGCUGAUCCAUGUCCUCUAAAUGUAGGACUUCAAAGCUCUCAAAGAUAGGCAGACCCAGCGGGAAGCUGCGAAAUGGUCUCUGACCCCUCUGGGAGAGCUGGCAGUCAGAAGGCCUUUUGGAAAGAGUCAGAUCUGAUCCAUAAGUGCCUGGAAAACACCCUGUCUGGAGAAUUAAUGCCACUGUGGCCUUGACUGAGGCUUCAGAAGAAUUUAGGAGCUGCAAUUCAUACACACAUGCAUUCGUUUUCAAGUAGUGGUUUUCAGUUCAGGCUUCAAAGUCACCUUCCAGCUUUGUGACUUUAUGAAGUCUCCACAUUUUUAAACCUCCAUUUUUUUCCUAUAAAACUGGGACCUUCAUGGUUCUUACUUCAUCGUGAUAUUGAGGGAAUGAAAAGAGAAAGCAUAAAUAAACGGCUUAGCCUCGUGCCUUGGCACAUA